rnacentral:snRNA from 1 species
GGAUGUGAGGGCGAUCUGGCUGCGACAUCUGUCACCCCAUUGAUCGCCAGGGUUGAUUCGGCUGAUCUGGCUGGCUAGGCGGGUGUCCCCUUCCUCCCUCACCGCUCCAUGUGCGUCCCUCCCGAAGCUGCGCGCUCGGUCGAAGAGGACGACCUUCCCCGAUAGAGGAGGACCGUUCUUCGGUCAAGGGUAUACGAGUAGCUGCGCUCCCCUGCUAGAACCUCCAAACAAGCUCUCAAGGUCCAUUUGUAGGAGAACGUAGGGUAGUCAAGCUUCCAAGACUCCAGACACAUCCAAAUGAGGCGCUGCACGUGGCAGUCUGCCUUUCUUA